UGUAACCGCCAUAGGGGUAAGAAGCCUGGAAACUUCUCCGAAUCUCAGACAAGGAAUUGGUUUAACCAGCAAUGGCAGAGCUGAGAAGCCAAAUGAGGGGCAGGAAGAAGGAACCCAGGAGCUCAGUGAAAGCAAGGAUGCUUCCACCUGGAACUGGGAAGCCAGGGAGCUGUGUUUAUUUAGGAACACGACGUGGGAGUGAGACGGAAGCAGAUUGCUCUUCCAAUACGAGUUCUAAUUCACAGAUCAGUCUUAAAAACACUCACGUGUGAUUAUCUGCCAGAUGUGUCUGCGUGCAUCAUACACAUGCCUGUUGCCUGUGGAGGUCAGAAGAUGUCAUUGGAGUCCAUGGUACUGAAGUUAGACAGUUGUGAGCCGUCAUGGGGGUCCUGGGAAUCAACCUUGUGUCAGGGCUCCUGGCCAUCUUUCUAGCGCUACUGAUUAGAUUUUGGACAAAGACUUUUGACAAAAUGUUUGCUUCA